UGUUAGGGAACGACACCGGAGAGGGAGCCUGAGAAACGGCUACCACAUCCAAGGAUGGCAGCAGGCGCGCAAAUUACCCAAUCCCGACACGGGGAGGUAGUGACAAUAAAUAACAAUACGGGGUUCUUUAGGAUCUCGUAAUUGGAAUGAGUACAAUUUAAAUCUCUUAACGAGGAACAAUUGGAGGGCAAGUCUGGUGCCAGCAGCCGCGGUAAUUCCAGCUCCAAUAGCGUAUAUUAAAGUUGUUGCAGUUAAAAAGCUCGUAGUUGAAUUUCGGGGUUAGUAGGUUGGUCAUGCCUCUGGUAUGUACUGGUCUCACUGAUUCCUCCUUCCUGAUGAGCCGUAAUGCCAUUAAUUUGGUGUUGCGGGGAAUUUGGACUGUUACUUUGAAAAAAUUAGAGUGUUUAAAGCAAGCUAACGCUUGAAUACAUUAGCAUGGAAUAAUGAAAUAGGACGUUCGAUCCUAUUUUGUUGGUUUCUAGGAUUGACGUAAUGAUUAAUAGGGAUAGUUGGGGGCAUUAGUAUUCAAUUGUCAGAGGUGAAAUUCUUGGAUUUAUUGAAGACUAACUACUGCGAAAGCAUUUGCCAAGGAUGUUUUCAUUAAUCAAGAACGAAAGUUAGGGGAUCGAAGACGAUCAGAUACCGUCGUAGUCUUAACCAUAAACUAUGCCGACUAGGGAUCGGAUGAUGUUAAUUUUUUAAUGACUCAUUCGGCGCCUUACGGGAAACA
rnacentral:rRNA from 1 species